GCGCUAGGUGGGGAGUCAGCGGUGCCCUGUAUCUGCAAUCCGCUAUAGCAGAACCGAACGCUUUCCUCGGCUUUACUUGUGGAAGGCUGCGGGCUUGUAAAAACGUUGAUACCAAGGUCUUAUGCAACGGACUGCUGUGAAAUGUGUCAGGACAGGGAUGUAGCAGCACUAAGCGGAUUUGUUCGUGUGCCAUAGGGUUGCUUUGGAGUAGUUGUCUG
rnacentral:SRP_RNA from 1 species